AGUGGCGAACGGGUGAGUAAAGUAUCGGAACGUGCCCAGUCGUGGGGGAUAACGUAGCGAAAGUUACGCUAAUACCGCAUACGAUCUAUGGAUGAAAGCGGGGGAUCGCAAGACCUCGCGCGAUUGGAGCGGCCGAUAUCAGAUUAGGUAGUUGGUGGGGUAAAGGCUCACCAAGCCGACGAUCUGUAGCUGGUCUGAGAGGACGACCAGCCACACUGGGACUGAGACACGGCCCAGACUCCUACGGGAGGCAGCAGUGGGGAAUUUUGGACAAUGGGCGCAAGCCUGAUCCAGCCAUGCCGCGUGCAGGAUGAAGGCCUUCGGGUUGUAAACUGCUUUUGUACGGAACGAAAAGGUUUGGCCUAAUAAGCUGAGCUCAUGACGGUACCGUAAGAAUAAGCACCGGCUAACUACGUGCCAGCAGCCGCGGUAAUACGUAGGGUGCGAGCGUUAAUCGGAAUUACUGGGCGUAAAGCGUGCGCAGGCGGUUAUGUAAGACAGAUGUGAAAUCCCCGGGCUCAACCUGGGAACUGCAUUAGUGACUGCAUAGCUGGAGUACGGCAGGGGGGGGGGAUGGAAUUCCGCGGUGUAGCAGUGAAAUGCGUAGAUAUGCGGGAGGAACACCGAAUGGCGAAAGGCAAUCCCCUGGGUCUGUACUGACGCUCAUGCACGAAAGCGUGGGG
rnacentral:rRNA from 1 species